rnacentral:miRNA from 1 species
UGAAUACAGGAAUGGCUCUCU